rnacentral:rRNA from 1 species
AUACAGAGGGUGCGAGCGUUAAUCGGAAUUACUGGGCGUAAAGCGCGCGUAGGCGGCUUAUUAAGUCAGAUGUGAAAUCCCCGGGCUCAACCUGGGAACUGCAUCUGAUACUGGUAAGCUAGAGUUUUGGAGAGGGAAGUAGAAUUUCAGGUGUAGCGGUGAAAUGCAUAGAGAUCUGAAGGAAUACCAGUGGCGAAGGCGACUUCCUGGCCAAAAACUGACGCUGAGGUGCGAAAGCGAGGGUAGCAAACGGGAUUAGAAACCCUAGUAGUCC